rnacentral:rRNA from 1 species
UACCUAGUAGUACGGAAUAGCCAUUAGAAAUGGUGGGUAAUACUGUAUAAUCCCCGAGGGGGAAAGAUUUAUCGCUAUUAGAUGAGCCUACGUUAGAUUAGCUAGUUGGUGAGGUAAUGGCUUACCAAGGCUAUGAUCUAUAGCUGGUCUGAGAGGACGAUCAGCCACACUGGAACUGAGAUACGGUCCAGACUCCUACGGGAGGCAGCAGUGGGGAAUAUUGGACAAUGGGCGAAAGCCUGAUCCAGCUAUGCCGCGUGAGUGAAGAAGGCCUUCGGGUUGUAAAACUCUUUCAAUAGGGAAGAUAAUGACGGUACCUAUA